UUAUUAUGUUUUACAAAUGUCUGUAUUUAGUCAGUUCUUGUUUUUCCUUUGAUGCAGCUACAAGGCCACCGGCUACGCAAGGUCACAAGAUAUGUUAUGCUAUAGAUUACAUGACCUGUCACUGUAUAAUUAACUGCUUUUGUUUUGCUUUUGUAAGGCCACUUAUAAAAACCCCGCUCUGUCUUUGUUCAGUGCUCAGCUUUUUGGAUAUGAAUCCACUGAGCCAGUGCGUACCUAAAAUAAACAAUUCUGUUUCUCUCAUAUUCUCUCCUUUCUUCAGUUUACCCUAACACAAAUAUUUCCACCUCUUCUCCCAUCUCAGCGCCUCCUCUGCUCUCCCUGUUACAUUCUCUCUUCCCUGUUAUACCCUCAUCCCCACUCUCUAGCACCCCAGAUCCCCAGGUGUCCUCCCUGCUGUGCUUCUCCCUCUGUUCUCCUUGCCACCAGCACCACUCUGCUGUCUGCCCUGGCUCCAAAUCCCUCUUCCUCUCCCUCACUCUGAUGAGCCUCCCUCUUUGCUGCCCCUCUCCCUACCUUGCUGUCCUUCAUCUCUCUGUACAUCCAGCUUUUCUCUACAUUUCUCCACUUGCUUUUCUCUUGCUUUCUUAUCGUUUUCUUUUCACUUUUGCUGUCUCUUGGCAAAUCCCUCACCCAUCCUCUACUUUGCCAUCUCUUAUGGUUCUUUCUCAUUCUUCUUUUCUCUGUCUCGGGUUUUCUACUGCUGUCCGUCUCCCGAUCCCUUUGGCCCACACAAUCACAGGAGGGUUUGAUGUAAGACGCCUGCAUCCCGGAGGAGCGUAUUUUCCAGGGGUUGGAACUGGGCAGACGGGAGAGAAUUUCCAGAUCCGUGGGGACCCUACGUCCCAGGGACAGAAACGCUGAGGACCUGGGAAGUGCAGACUUAAUACAAAACAGCGAAACUCACCGCCGCGGUGUGACCGUCACUCCACGCGAUCCGCUUCCACAUUUGCGAGAAUCUGCGCGCGCAGGACGGAAGCCAGGCCUCGGCGGCCCCGCGAGGUGGUGGGCGGGGCCUGGGCCGGGUAGCGGCCGCGCGCGAAGCGGACUUUGCGGUUUAGAACCGGCAGAGGGCGGGGCCGUGGCGGGACCUGUGUGUUCACAUCCUAGCUCCCAGCGCCUCUGUUUUUCCGGUUUGGGAGGCGAGAGUGGCCAGGAAGUAUGAGGCAUGAUUCAAAAGCCCUGAAUUUUCUGGAACGGGGAUGCAAACUAGAAUGUGAAAUGCAAAGCCCUGCGUGGGCGGAACAUAGGAUUUCAUGCUGACGGCCCACAGAACAGAACAGAAAUCCUCUCCCUUUCUAUUCUCCAUUCACACGGGAGGGAGGGUCCGCCCUGUGCUCAGCUUCAGAGACUUCCCUAAAGCCACUGCCUGGGAUGCGGGACUGAGUGCUCAGGCCAGGGAGGAGUGAGGUCACCACCUGCUGCUUAAACACAGCAGGGAUGCAGGCGCGAAGGCGGGAGCCUGAGGUCCCAGCUACUCAGGAAGUAGGAGCAGGAAGAUCGCUGAGCCCUGGGGUCCAGGCCAGCCUGGGCGACAAAGUAACACUCCCUCCCGCAAGGCCACCUUCCUUGUCUCCCUCUCUCUCCGUCUCUCUCUCUCUCUCGCUUUUUAAACCUUUUUAAAUAAAAUUUUUGAUGGUGUGACA